rnacentral:rRNA from 1 species
UACGUAGGCAGCAAGCGUUGUUCGGAAUUACUGGGCGUAAAGAGUGUGUAGGCGGUGCUCUAAGUGUGGUGUGAAAUCUCCCGGCUCAACUGGGAGGGUGCGCCGCAGACUGGAAUGCUAGAGUAUGGGAGAGGUAAGCGGAAUUCCUGGUGUAGCGGUGAAAUGCGUAGAUAUCAGGAGGAACACCUGUGGUGUAGACAGCUUACUGGACCAUGACUGACGCUGAGACACGAAAGCGUGGGUAGCAAACAGG